rnacentral:rRNA from 1 species
CACCAGCGCCACAAGUGGGGGCCGGUAUUAUUGGGCCUAAAGCGUCCGUAGCCGGAUUUGUUAAUCCUUUGUGAAAUUGUAGGGCUUAACCUUACAGCGUGCAGAGGACACUGUAGAUCUAGAGACCGGGAGGGGUCAGAGGUAUACAUGGGGUAGCGGUAAAAUGCGAUAAUCCUUUGUAGACCACCGGUGGCGAAGGCGUCUGACUAGAACGGGUCUCACGGUGAGGGACGAAAGCUGGGGGAGCGAUCCG